UUGUCCUCGGGAGGCAGCAGUAGGGAAUUUUCGUCAAUGGGCGCAAGCCUGAACGAGCAAUGCCGCGUGAACGAGGAAGGCCUUCGGAUCGUAAAGUUCUGUUGAAGGGGAAAAAGAGCGGAGAGAGGAAAUGAACUCCGAUUGAUAUUACCCUUCGAGGAAGUCACGGCUAACUACGUGCCAGCAGCCGCGGUAAUACGUAGGUGGCGAGCGUUAUCCGGAAUGAUUGGGCGUAAAGGGUGCGUAGGCGGCCUGCUAAGUCUGGAGUGAAAGGUACCGGCUCAACCGGUACAGGCUCUGGAAAC
rnacentral:rRNA from 1 species